UUAAGCUCUUUAGCGCUGAUGGUACUUGGUGGGAAACUGCCUGGGAGAGUAGGACGUAGCCACGUGAAUAUUCCAAGGUAGCUCAAUGGUGGAGCAACCGGCUGUUAACCGGUAGGCUGUGGGUUCGAGCCCCACCCUUGGAGCCAAAAAAAGCCGAAGUGGCGGAACUGGCAGACGCACAGGACUUAAAAUCCUGCGGGACUUACCUCUCGUACCGGUUCGAUUCCGGUCUUCGGCACUUAUAAAACAAUAUCGCGGAGUGGAGCAGUUGGCAGCUCGUCGGGCUCAUAACCCGAAGGUCGUAGGUUCAAGUCCUGCCUCCGCAACCAUUAAAAUGGCUCGUUGGUCAAGAGGUUAAGACACCGCCCUUUCACGGCGGUAACAGGGGUUCAAUUCCCCUACGAGUCACCAAUUAAAUAUGCGGGUGUAGCUCAAUGGUAGAGUUCUGGCCUUCCAAGCCAGCUGUGAGGGUUCGAUCCCCUUCACCCGCUCCAAAAAUGGGACCAUAGCUCAGCUGGGAGAGCACCUGCCUUACAAGCAGGGGGUCACAGGUUCGAGCCCUGUUGGUCCCACCAUUUGCGGCCUGGUAGUUCAGUUGGUUAGAAUGCCAGCCUGUCACGCUGGAGGUCGAGGGUUCGAACCCCUUCCAGGUCGCCAAAAUAAAAUGCUGGUGUGGCUCAACGGUAGAGCAGCUGACUUGUAAUCAGCAGGUUGUAGGUUCGAUUCCUAUCACCAGCUCCAUGUAAAAUUAAUACGGAGGAUUUCCCGAGCGGCCAAAGGGGGCAGACUGUAAAUCUGUUGUCAUCGACUUCGGUGGUUCGAAUCCACCAUCCUCCACCAAAAAANGGGAGUCAGACUGUGGGUGAUAAGAUUCAUAGUCGAAAGGGCAACAGCCCAGAUCGUCAGCUAAGGUCCCUAAAUGUAAGUUAAGUGGUAAAGGAUGUGGGAUUGCACAGACAACCAGGAUGUUGGCUUAGAAGCAGCCACUCAUUCAAAGAGUGCGUAAUAGCUCACUGGUCGAGUGAUCCUGCGCCGAAGAUUUCCGGGGCUAAAACUUACUACCGAAGCUACGGCAUCAGUAAUGAUGGGUAGGGGAGCUUCCCAUACGGGUUGAAGCAUGACCGUAAGGACAUGUGGACAGUAUGGGAGUGAGAAUGUUGGCAUGAGUAGCGAGAUGUGGGUGAGAAUCCCACAGGCCGUAAACCCAAGGUUUCCAGGGGAAGGUUCGUCCGCCCUGGGUUAGUCGGGACCUAAGCUGAGGCCGAAAGGCGUAGGUGAUGGACAACAGGUUGAUAUUCCUGUACUACCGAUAACCGUUUGAGAGAAGGGAUGACACAGUAGGAUAAGCUAAGCACACUGUUGGUUAUGUGUGCCCAAGCAUUGAGGCAGUCAAAGUAGGCAAAUCCGCUUUGAUAAUGCUGGGAUGUGAUGGGGAGCGAAAUUUAGUAGCGAAGUAGCUGAUUUCACACUGUCAAGAAAAGUCUCUAUCGAGGUUAAAGGUACCCGUACCGCAAACCGACACAGGUGGGUGAGGAGAGUAUCCUAAGGCCAGCGAGAGAACUGUUGUUAAGGAACUCGGCAAAAUGACCCCGUAACUUAGGGAUAAGGGGUGCCACCAUCAGGUGGCCGCAGAGAAUAGGCCCAAGCGACUGUUUACCAAAAACAUAGGUUUCUGCUAAGUCGCAAGACGAUGUAUAGGAGCUGACGCCUGCCCGGUGCUGGAAGGUUAAGGGGAUCUGUUAGAGCAAUCGAAGCAGUGAACUUAAGCCCCAGUAAACGGCGGCCGUAACUAUAACGGUCCUAAGGUAGCGAAAUUCCUUGUCGGGUAAGUUCCGACCCGCACGAAAGGCGUAACGAUUUGGGCACUGUCUCAACAACAGACUCGGUGAAAUUGUAAUUCCGGUGAAGAUGCCGGAUACCUGCGACAGGACGGAAAGACCCCAUGGAGCUUUACUGUAGCUUGACAUUGGGUCUUGGUACUACAUGUACAGGAUAGGUGGGAGGCUUUGAAACCAGGACGCCAGUUUUGGCGGAGCCAUCCUUGGGAUACCACCCUUGUAGUACUGGGACUCUAACCAUAGGCCAUGAAUCUGGUCUUGGGACACUGUCAGGUGGGCAGUUUGACUGGGGCGGUCGCCUCCCAAAAGGUAACGGAGGCGCUCAAAGGUUCUCUCAGUACGGUCGGAAAUCGUACGUAGAGUGUAAAGGCAAAAGAGAGCUUGAUUGCAAGACAUACAGGUCGAGCAAGGAUGAAAAUCGGACUUAGUGAUCCGGUGGUUCUGCGUGGAAGGGCCAUCGCUCAACGGAUAAAAGCUACCCUGGGGAUAACAGGCUUAUCUCCCCCAAGAGUCCACAUCGACGGGGAGGUUUGGCACCUCGAUGUCGGCUCAUCACAUCCUGGGGCUGUAGUAGGUCCCAAGGGUUGGGCUGUUCGCCCAUUAAAGUGGUACGCGAGCUGGGUUCAGAACGUCGUGAGACAGUUCGGUCCCUAUCCGUCGCAGGCGUAGGAAAUUUGAGAAGACCUGUCCUUAGUACGAGAGGACCGGGAUGGACGUACCUCUGGUGUACCAGUUGUCCUGCCAAGGGCAUGGCUGGGUAGCUAUGUACGGAAUGGAUAAGCGCUGAAAGCAUCUAAGCGCGAAGCCAACUUCAAGAUAAGAUUUCCCACCGCAAGGGUAAGACCCCAGAAAGACUAUCUGGUUGAUAGGUCGAAGGUGUAAGUGCAGUAAUGUAUUUAGCUUAUCGAUACUAAUAGGUCGAGGACUUGACCAA
rnacentral:rRNA from 1 species